GAUGGUGCCAACGCACCAAUCCAAAAGCCCUUCUUUUUCUUCUUCUUUGCAGAUGGUGCCAAGUCACAGACGCAACACAGAGACCUCAGUCCCUUCUCCCUUCUCCCUUCUCUCUUCUCCCUUCUCCCUCCUUCCUCAUUCCCACAACUUUUAAUUAUUUUUCGAUAUCUCUCUCUCUCUCCUCCCUGCUCGUCACUCUCUUCAGAUCCCACUCUCUCUGCAAAUCCCAAAUUCCCAAUCGCCCCUCUCUCUCUCUCUCUCUCUAAAAUCCAUUCCGUCAGGGAAUCAAAAUCCCAUCUUUUUCAUUCACAUACAAAACCCACACACAUAUUUAUAGAUCUGCUGCUCCUCCUCCCAUGGCUUUCACCGGGAAUCAAAAUCCGCCGCCGCAACAGCAACCGCCGCCCUCGGCCGCUGCUGCGUCGUUUCCCGCCGCUUCCACUCCCUCGUCCCCCAAGUAGAAAACGUUGUCGUCCGUGUCGACUGCUCCGCCUCCUCAUCUUCCUCCUCCGACAAGUCUCUGACCCCCUAGAUCGGAGUCUAGGGUCCUGUUUUACAGUCGGCCGGAGCUGUAGAAGCUUCGGCGUUCUUCUCCGAGUAGUAGUUCAAAAAAUAUAGCGAUAUUUUGACGAAAACCAUUUGGAUACCUAUUUAAAUAUCCAUUGCGCGAAAAACCGAUAAUAUCGGCGAUGUUUCGCCGAUAUUAUCGGCAUUUUCUUCCAUGCUCACACCUAAAAUUAUUGUAAAUUAGAUCUUAAAAUCGUUCAUUUGAGACCAAUUGAUUUGCUCGAUUUCAGGGAGAAGCCACACGAUCUAUCCCAGUUUUCUUCUAAAAUCGACCAAAUCUACAGAAACCUUUUGUCGCAGAUUGUGACUAUGCAUUCGUGUUUGUGCUCAUGUGCUGUGACCAUGGCUGAGCCUAUGGAGUUUUUAACAGAGCGAAUUUUUGGAGAGGAUAGUACUCAGACCGUACUUAUUGAUGGUUCGACUAACAAUCCGGUUCCGUUGGAUGUGCUGAGCCACAAUAAUUUGUUGCUGUUCCUUUCGAACCUUACCAAUAUUUCUGACUGAUAUUGAAGCUCUCAAGAUCGUUAAUGAGGGAAUAAAAGCAUAUGACAAAUCUAACAUUGUGUGGAUCCCCGUUGUGAAGCAGUGGACUGAUGAACUGCGAAACAAGUUCGAGAUCUUGAGAAGGAAGAUGCGGUGCGUGGUACAUAGUGCAGUGUUCGUCAAACUUAACGGCUGGCAACAAAUUCAUCGAGAACAUGUGGUAUUUCAGGCGUAAACCUGUGGUGGUGGUGAUGAACAAACAAGGUAUGGUGAAAAAUCUAGAUGUUCUCCCCUUCUAAUGGUGUAUCACGGUAAUUCUUCAAUAAGCCCAGCAAAUUUAUGUUGUUGCAAAUGUACAUUUCACCUUCAGGUGAGAGUGACUUAACAAUUAAACUGUCAUAAAUCACACACAUCAAACCACUUUGACAGUUUGUGUUCAGCACUCAUCAACUGCAUUCAUAUGAGACAUCUGAAAGUUAAAAAGACUCAUGGGAUGAAACUAGCGUCCAUAAUGCACAGGAUAAAAACCACCAACCAGUCUCAAAAUAAACUUAUUCUCUCAAUAAGAACUAUAAGAACUAGAAAAUUAACACAAAAGAGAUCAGAAGUUACUCAAAAGGAUAUUAACAUACCAAAGUUACAGUAACAAGG